UCUUGACAGAACCGCUUCCCAGAUAGUUAUCAGAAUGAUUGUGUCGACAAUUUUUCUCAGUUUAUUACUGACUUUCUUAUCAUGUGUCCAGUCGGAGGUUGUUUUGACCCAGCCAGAGGCAGAGACUGGCCGUCCCUCAGGCAGCCUGAAACUGACCUGUAAAACCAGCGGGUUCGAUCUCAGCAGCAGCUACAUGAGCUGGGUCCGCCAGGUUCCCGGCCAGGGUCUGGAGUGGCUGGUUAGCUACUAUGGUUCAUCCAGCAAUAACUAUGCACCAGCGAUUAAGGGUCGAUUUAGUGCGUCCAAAGACACUUCAAAGAACAUUUUCGCGUUGGAGAUGACUAACCUGAAGAUCGAAGACACCGCCAUCUAUUACUGUGCAAGUGGCUGGUACUAUCUUGAUUACUGGGGCCAAGGGACCAUGGUGACAGUGACUUCAGAGACACCAUCUCCCCCCACGCUUUAUGGCCUGGCCUCCUCCUGUGAGGAGCACAGCACCGGUUCGACAAUCUUUGGUUGUUUGGUGAUGGACUAUUCCCCAGACGUCACCAAGGUAACCUGGAAGAAAGGUGGGGUGCUAAUCACGAAUGGUGGAUUGAAGACUUACCCAUCAGUGAGAAACAAGAAGGGAACCUACACCCUGAGCAGCCAGUUAACCCUGCCCGGGUCAGCGGUAGAUUGCCCCAGCAAAAUCUACUGUGAGGUUCAACACAGCGGGUCUCACAAGAGCAAAGAAAUGCCAUGUGGUACAGGUCCUCUCCCACCAACUCUUCUCCUAACUGUGAGCUCCAGUGAAGAAAUCGCAAGCAGCAAGUUUGCAACUGUCGUUUGUUCAAUCAUCGAUUUCCAUCCGAAGGCAAUCAACGUGACUUGGUUGAAAAAUGGCCGACGCUUGGAUUCUGGCUUCUUCACGUCUCCCGUGUGUGAGGCGAACGGGAACUUCUCGGUGACGAGUCGGCUGAUGGUCCCUUAUGGUGAAUGGUACAACAGCGCAGUCUAUACCUGCCAGGUCACUCACGAAGAGAACAUUCAAAGUAAAAACAUCACCGCACUCCAGGAAGAUACCGAGUGCCACCCUCACACCGUUAAAAUCCUCCCACCGCCAAUCGAACAAGUCUUACUGGAAGCGACGGUGACGUUAACCUGCGUUGUGUCCAAUUUUCUUCCUGGAGUCAGCGUGACCUGGAAACAAGAUAAGAAGCCUCUGAGCUCAGAGAUUGCUGACCAGCCUGGACAGAAUCCCGACAGCGUGAUCAGCAAAUUAGACAUUUCUACUGAAGCCUGGCUGAGUGGUGUUACUUUUGAAUGUGUGGUGAACCAUCAAAAUCUACCGACUCCGCUGAGAGACUCCAUCCACAAGGAGAAAGUGAUUAAUCCGCUGGAGCCAUCAGUGUCGGUCCUCCUCCCACCAACAGAAGAAAUCUCCGCACAGAGGUUUCUCUCCCUCACCUGUUUAGUGAGAGGUUUCUCCCCCCGAGAGAUCUUCGUCAAGUGGACAAACAAUGACAAGCCGGUGAAUCCCAGUAACUACAAGAACACCGAGGUGAUGGCAGAGAGUGACAACACUUCCUUCUUCAUCUACAGCCUGUUAUCCAUUACAGCGGAGGAGUGGGCCAGCGGUGCUUCUUACUCCUGUGUGGUGGGACAUGAAGCGAUUCCAUUGAAGAUCAUCAACAGAACAGUCGAUAAAUCCAGCGAUUCAAUAGAUCGCACUUGGAUUGAAGACUAUGAGGAUGAUAACAGCAACAUCUGGACAACUGCUUCCACGUUCAUCACCUUGUUCUUCCUGAGUAUUUUCUACAGCGCUGCCGUCACUCUGGUGAAGGUUAAGUGAAUGAGUUGUGGACCCCUUUGAUGUUCCUGAUCUGCUUAUCAAGGUCUCUGAAUUCCCAAUCUACAAUCUGUCCUGUUGCUGACUCUCACAGUGAGAUCACUUCAGUUUAUCAGUGUGUAACUGAGACAAUAAUUGAUGGAUUUUCGUUUUUACUUUAUAUCUUUGAAAUGGUUGUGGUUGGAAGAAUUUGUAGCUUCCCUGUUGUUUGAAGCCCAUUUGUUUUGUUUUUAUUUGUUCCUUACUCAGAAUGGUUGCCUACCCUUUCUGAUGAGCCUUUGUAUUCCCUUUCUUGUGACUGUUACUGAUGUACAGAAAAUUCCCACCUCACAGCGCAUGUGUUCUCAUCUCAAUGUGGCACCCAACCAUUAUAUUCACUUCUGUUAGCUUUUACAUCAACUUUUUGGAUAAAAAUGCUUUCUGAAAUGGUUAAUAAAUCUCGAAUGAAUAUGCACUAA